rnacentral:rRNA from 1 species
ACCGACGGGAGCUUGCUCCCUUAGGUCAGCGGCGGACGGGUGAGUAACACGUGGGUAACCUGCCUGUAAGACUGGGAUAACUCCGGGAAACCGGGGCUAAUACCGGAUGCUUGAUUGAACCGCAUGGUUCAAUCAUAAAAGGUGGCUUUUAGCUACCACUUACAGAUGGACCCGCGGCGCAUUAGCUAGUUGGUGAGGUAACGGCUCACCAAGGCGACGAUGCGUAGCCGACCUGAGAGGGUGAUCGGCCACACUGGGACUGAGACACGGCCCAGANUCCUACGGGAGGCAGCAGUAGGGAUCUUCCGCAAUGGACGAAAGUCUGACGGAGCAACGCCGCGUGAGUGAUGAAGGUUUUCGGAUCGUAAAACUCUGUUGUUAGGGAAGAACAAGUACCGUUCGAAUAGGGCGGCACCUUGACGGUACCUAACCAGAAAGCCACGGCUAACUACGUGCCAGCAGCCGCGGUAAUACGUAGGUGGCAAGCGUUGUCCGGAAUUAUUGGGCGUAAAGCGCGCGCAGGCGGUUUCUUAAGUCUGAUGUGAAAGCCCCCGGCUCAACCGGGGAGGGUCAUUGGAAACUGGGGAACUUGAGUGCAGAAGAGGAGAGUGGAAUUCCACGUGUAGCGGUGAAAUGCGUAGAGAUGUGGAGGAACACCAGUGGCGAAGGCGACUCUCUGGUCUGUAACUGACGCUGAGGCGCGAAAGCGUGGGGAGCGAACAGGAUUAGAUACCCUGGUAGUCCACGCCGUAAACGAUGAGUGCUAAGUGUUAGAGGGUUUCCGCCCUUUAGUGCUGCAGCAAACGCAUUAAGCACUCCGCCUGGGGAGUACGGUCGCAAGACUGAAACUCAAAGGAAUUGACGGGGGCCCGCACAAGCGGUGGAGCAUGUGGUUUAAUUCGAAGCAACGCGAAGAACCUUACCAGGUCUUGACAUCCUCUGACAACCCUAGAGAUAGGGCUUCCCCUUCGGGGGCAGAGUGACAGGUGGUGCAUGGUUGUCGUCAGCUCGUGUCGUGAGAUGUUGGGUUAAGUCCCGCAACGAGCGCAACCCUUGAUCUUAGUUGCCAGCAUUCAGUUGGGCACUCUAAGGUGACUGCCGGUGACAAACCGGAGGAAGGUGGGGGAUGACGUCAAAUCAUCAUGCCCCUUAUGACCUGGGCUACACACGUGCUACAAUGGGCAGAACAAAGGGCAGCGAAGCCGCGAGGCUAAGCCAAUCCCACAAAUCUGUUCUCAGUUCGGAUCGCAGUCUGCAACUCGACUGCGUGAAGCUGGAAUCGCUAGUAAUCGCGGAUCAGCAUGCCGCGGUGAAUACGUUCCCGGGCCUUGUACACACCGCCCGUCACACCACGAGAGUUUGUAACACCCGAAGUCGGUGAGGUAACCUUUGGAGCCAGCCGC